rnacentral:rRNA from 1 species
UUGCCAGCCCGCUCAAGCGGAGGAGCAUGUGGUUUAAUUUCGAUGAUACGCGAGGAACCUUACCUGGGCUCGAACGUAAGAUGACUGUAGGUGAAAGCUUACAUCUCUUCGGAGCAUUUUACGAGGUGCUGCAUGGUUGUCGUCAGCUCGUGCCGUGAGGUGUCGGGUUAAGUCCCAUAACGAGCGCAACCCCUACCUUAGUUGCCAUCAGGUUAAGCUGGGGACUCUAAAGGAACUGCCUACGCAAGUAGUGAGGAAGCGGGGAUGACGUCAAAUCAGCACGGCCCUUACGUCCAGGGCUACACACGUGCUACAAUGGCCGAUACAGAGGGCAGCUACCUGGUGACAGGAUGCAAAUCUCCAAAGUCGGUCUCAGUUCGGAUCGGAGUCUGCAACCCGACUCCGUGAAGUUGGAUUCGCUAGUAAUCGCGCAUCAGCCAUGGCGCGGUGAAUACGUUCCCGGGCCUU